rnacentral:rRNA from 1 species
UACGUAGGGUGCAAGCGUUGUCCGGAAUUAUUGGGCGUAAAGAGCUCGUAGGCGGUUUGUCGCGUCGGCUGUGAAAACUCGGGGCUCAACCCCGGGCCUGCAGCCGAUACGGGCAGACUAGAGUUCGGCAGGGGAGACUGGAAUUCCUGGUGUAGCGGUGAAAUGCGCAGAUAUCAGGAGGAACACCGGUGGCGAAGGCGGGUCUCUGGGCCGAAACUGACGCUGAGGAGCGAAAGCGUGGGGAGCGAACAGG